CCUGCUGUAUUACCAGCAGUUUUUCAUUCCGGCAUGCAUUACCAGUAAUGGUUUUGUGUGAAGCCCGGAUGACAAUGAAGCCCUUGGCUUUAUGCCAGGAGAGAGAGCCGUGAGGGGACCUCAACUCUGGGAGCAUCAAUCCAGAUGGGAGC
rfam:Desulfotignum phosphitoxidans DSM 13687 Dpo_3c, whole genome shotgun sequence.